rnacentral:piRNA from 1 species
UGGGAUGGCAUGGAUGCUUCCUAA